rnacentral:rRNA from 1 species
UACGUAGGGUGCGAGCGUUGUCCGGAAUUACUGGGCGUAAAGAGCUCGUAGGUGGUUUUGUCGCGUUGUCCGUGAAAACUCACAACUCAAUUGUGGGCGUGCGGGCGAUACGGGCAGACUGGAGUUCGGCAGGGGAGACUGGAAUUCCUGGUGUAGCGGUGAAAUGCGCAGAUAUCAGGAGGAACACCGGUGGCGAAGGCGGGUCUCUGGGCCGAUACUGACGCUGAGGAGCGAAAGCGUGGGGGAGCGAACAGG